CAGGCAUGCGCGGUCGGCCUUCGCUUCUGCCGUUCUGGAUAGCAGUUGCAUGGGUUGCAGUGUGCGCCCAGGUGCAACGCGUGGAAGGAGUCAAAGCUGACCUUUGCGCCGGUGGCAGGGGUGUCGUAAAGGCAAGUCGGAGCGCCUCUCAUGGCGCCAAAAUACUGACCAAAUGUGGCCGCGACAUGGUUCUCAAGUACACUCUCAAGCCCAAGCAGUUUCACAGGCUCCUGAUGAAAACCUGCAUCAUAACGCGCCUUUGCUACGCACGUAUUAACGUCCAAAAGAAUACGGAGGAGUUUCGAGAACAGAUCACGAAUUGUUACGUUGAUGUCACAAGAUGGAUUGUUAGAACGAUACCGG